UACGUAGGGUGCGAGCGUUGUCCGGAAUUAUUGGGCGUAAAGAGCUCGUAGGCGGUUUGUCGCGUCUGCUGUGAAAACCCGAGGCUCAACCUCGGGCCUGCAGUGGGUACGGGCAGACUAGAGUGCGGUAGGGAGAUUGGAAUCCUGGUGUAGCGGUGGAAUGCGCAGAUAUCAGGAGGACACCAAUGGCGAAGGCAGAUCUCUGGGCCGUAACUGACACUGAGGAGCGAA
rnacentral:rRNA from 1 species